AAUCGUUCUGCCAGCAUCCUUCGGGGGCUAUCGUAGGUUAGGCAUUAAAACAAUACACAAAAACAUAUAUUAUAUACAGCAAUACACAACAACCCUUGACUUAUGUGCUGACAUUCGCCAAAAGGAUUAAAUUUACAAUUAUAUCCAAAAAUAACAGAAAGCGAAUUGAUAUGUUUUAGAUAUUUUAUGAAAGUAUCUUAUGAACCUUUAUUUAAUCAUUCAGAAUAGACAAACCAAGUACAUUAUGAUUGAUUUUAUUUGAAUUUUAUGAUAAUUUAAGAUGAUAAGACAUUUGUCAAUGAACAGCGGUAUACUACUGUUUCCUUUAUUUGUCCUGUAUCUGUUUAGGACAAGAUGGUGUACUUGACACAGAUGAUAGUAUCAUUUCAAAUUGAGACCAAACCUCCUUAAAGAGGAAAACAAUUAUCACUCCGGCGCUAUACGUCCUCGAAUAGUUUCACAUUUUCUGAACAAACACAACAUUUUAUUCGAACUACUUCCAAGUGCCUUUAUUUUCUCCUUCUUUAGGAUAAUUAACCAG
rnacentral:lncRNA from 1 species